rnacentral:rRNA from 1 species
UACAGAGGGUGCAAGCGUUAAUCGGAAUUAUUGGGCGUAAAGCGCAUGUAGGUGGUUUUGUAAGUUUGAUGUGAAAGCCCUGGGCUUAACCUGGGAAUUGCGUUGAAUACUGUAAAACUUGAGUCGGGCAGAGGGCGGUGGAAUUUCCGGUGUAGCGGUGAAAUGCGUAGAGAUCGGAAAGAACAUCGGUGGCGAAGGCGGCCGCCUGGGCCCAGACUGACACUGAGGUGCGAAAGCGUGGGGAGCAAACAGG